rnacentral:lncRNA from 1 species
AUUAGAUGUUAUUAUUAUUUAUUGAUAUUGAUUUUAUAAGCUGUAUUCCCAAAUACCCUCAUUACUUUAUUCUCUCUCUCUCUCUCUCUCUCUCUCUCUCUCUCUCUCUCUCUCUCUCUCUCUGUGUGUCUGUGAAGGAGACAGAACACUGAAGUAGGAGUUGGAAUAUCUAGAUUCUCGUCCUGAAUCCUUUAUGUAAUAGGAGAGAAAACAAUUUAAUCUCUCUUAUCUAUAGAAGGAAUACCUUCUGUGAAGAUUGGAUUUGGCUCUCCCCUGAUUGUAACAAUGAAGAUGUUCCCAGCGCCAGUGGCACGGGCUCAUCCCGAUGGGGAGAGAGAGAACAGUGACGGGAGCCCAAGACUGUCAUUCAUCUUCUCCUGUUUGUGGGCCCUCUGCCAGACAGGAGUGUGACACCAAAGCAGCUGGAAAAGGUGUGCCCGGAGGAGGGAGUAAGCACAGCAGUGGAAUCAGAGAGGAAGUACCACAGCAUGGAAGAGGAGAAGGAAUAUUUGGAGGCAGAUAACCUUGAAGUCACACAGGGUCCUAGACUGAAAUGUAGAGCACUACUGGUGAAUGGCACAUGUUUCUGUGUUCGGCUGACUACCCAAAAUAAAACAAGCCUAACGAGAUUAAAAUAACUUCAACACGUCAUGCUAAAGAGGCA